UACGUAGGGUGCGAGCGUUGUCCGGAAUUACUGGGCGUAAAGAGUGCGUAGGUGGUGAGGUAAGUUUGAUGUGAAAUCUCCGGGCUCAACCCGGAAAUGGCAUUGAAUACUAUCUUGCUAGAGGAGUGGAGGGGGGACUGGAAUACUUGGUGUAGCAGUGAAAUGCGUAGAUAUCAAGUGGAACACCAGUGGCGAAGGCGAGUCCCUGGACACUUCCUGACACUGAGGCACGAAAGCUAGGGGAGCAAACAGG
rnacentral:rRNA from 1 species